rnacentral:lncRNA from 1 species
CUACUAUUAUUCCAGAGUAAACUCUGAGAUCAAGCUGCUGCCACAGAGAGUUAUUUAUAGGAGCUCAUUCAUCAAUAAAAACUUCAAAAGAAAUCUGUUACUCUUCUAUUGGGAAGCCAAAGAAAACUAACAUAAAGACAACCCUGUUAAGAAACAAAGCUAAGGAGACCACAAGACAUUUAGUUAAGGAAAAUCCUGAUUUCUAACAAAUGCCACGCAAGGAGGGGAAGAAGAAAAAAAAAGGGGAAAAGAUUGUUGGCAGCAUGAAUCCUUUUAAGUUGUUUGACUCUCAUUGGAUGGUUAAAAUAAACUGUUAAGCAGUUGUACUUGGCCUGGCUCAGCCCCCUCAUUAGGCUCCAUGUGAUGGAUUUGGGAUCUCACAGUGUGUAAGGAACUCUUCAUCCUUUGCAAAAGCUGGUGCUGUCCUGCCCCGUGUCCCAGCUGCUGCUACACCCGUCCAUCAGCAGAGCAGAAACCCAACGGGAAGUGAUGACUGGGCACCAGAAAGCAUCCACCUCCCUAAAGGAAACCACUUCCUCUGUUUGUAUGGGCUGGAAGGGGAUGGGACUGCACGGGGGCUCUCGCUCUCAGCUCAUUGAGCCAAGCCAGAAAAGCCAUGGCACCCAACUAAAAUCAAAGGAGCUUCUGCAGUAAAGCUGAGCGCAAAACUCCUGCCACAAAACUCCUGAUACAAAACUCUCCUUAACAAACACAAACCACC